rnacentral:rRNA from 1 species
GGACUACCGGGGUAUCUAAUCCUGUUUGCUCCCCACACUUUCGAGCCUCAGCGUCAGGAUUGGUACAGAAAACCGCCUUCGCCACCGGUAUUCCUCUGCAUAUCUACGCAUUUCACCGCUACAUGCAGAAUUCUGUUUUCCCCUACCACCCUCUAGUCUAUUAGUUUCAGUCGCAGCUCCGGGGUUGAGCCCCGGAAUUUCACAACUGACUUAAUAGACCGCCUACGCUCCCUUUACGCCCAGUCAAUCCGAUCAACGCUUGCACCCCCCGUAUUACCGCGGCUGCUGGCAC